ensembl:lncRNA
UUUACACGUUAUGUGAAAACUAGUACAAGUAUAUAAAUAAAUAAAAAGAGACUUACUCAUGUUUAUGAACUCUGCUGAAUAAAGUGCUUCAUUAUUUUUUCUGAGGAAAUCCAAAUCUCAAAUCCUCAACCACAUCACAUCUUUUUUUGGGGUGAAUUAUGUCUUAUUCCUCUCAUCGCGAAGCAAACAGUAAAAAUAAUAAAAAAACUUGAAGAACAGUCUCGCUGCGUUGUCUUCUGUUGUGUGGGCGUAUUCAAAAGCCGAGACACCCCUCGCUGCAGACUGUAGCGCGGUGACGUCACGUACGUACGUCACGUAUGUGUUUACCGCGCAUGCGCAAAGUGACGUAAGGUAUGUCUUUAGCACGCAUGCGUGUGUAAUUUGCAUUGCGUGAUGACGUUAGUUGUUUUCGCGUCUUGCGUGCAUUAAAAUGCAUGCGUGUACUUAAAAGAAAACUCUAAUAAAAUGUUAAAGUAUUAAAGAACAUUAAGGUGUAAAAAAAAGAUGGGAAAAACAACAGUAAAAUAUAAUACAGCAAACAGCACAUAUCCAUUAUUUUAACCAUGUUUCAUCUGAGGUAAAAUUAUACGGAAUUACAGAGUUUAUUCUGUAAUAUCUUUGUAGUAUUUUAUUUACAAUAUAUUAACAUUAUGUUGCACUUUACUUCACUGUGUGUAUUGUAAUAUUACACUUUAAUGACACCUCAUAUAUGUCUUAUUGAGCUAUUCAAGAGUAAAACAGAUGAAAAUUAGUCGUCAGCUCUAGUGGUGCAGAUAAUAAAACGUGUGUUGUUUACAAUUUGAUGCAAUCGACCCGGGUUCGAGUGUUCCUUUUGACUUAAGUUUUUUUUUUCUCCUUUUUCAAAUUUCAAAUCACAUCAGAAAAGCAUGUAUUUUCAAUAAAAAUGAAGGAAAUAAUCAAAAAGUUGUGUGGGAUGGGUUUAUUGUCCCAAUAAGGUGGCAUCCAUAUAAUAAUUUGAAUUAAAAUUAUAAUUUACACUCAAUAAGUUA